rnacentral:rRNA from 1 species
AUUGAACGCUGGCGGCAUGCUUUACACAUGCAAGUCGAACGGCAGCGCGGGCUUCGGCCUGGCGGCGAGUGGCGAACGGGUGAGUAAUACAUCGGCACGUGCCCAGGAGGGGGGGAAAGCUCGGCGAAAGCCGGAUAAAUACCGCAUACGCCCUGAGGGUGAAAGCGGGGGAUCUUCGGACCUCGCGCUUUUGGAGCGGCCGAUGGCAGAUUAGCUAGUUGGUGGGGUAAAGGCCUACCAAGGCGACGAUCUGUAGCUGGUCUGAGAGGACGACCAGCCACACUGGGACUGAGACACGGCCCAGACUCCUACGGGAGGCAGCAGUGGGGAAUUUUGGACAAUGGGCGAAAGCCUGAUCCAGCAAUGCCGCGUGUGUGAUGAAGGCCUUCGGGUUGUAAAGCACUUUUGGCGGGAACGAAAAGGACUGUGCCAAUACCACGGUUCGAUGACGGUACCCGCAGAAUAAGCACCGGCUAACUACGUG